rnacentral:rRNA from 1 species
UGCGCGUUUAGUUGCUAGGUAUAGACCCGAAACCCGGUGAUCUAGCCAUGAGCAGGUUGAAGGUUGAGUAACAUCAACUGGAGGACCGAACCCACUAACGUUGAAGAGUUAGGGGAUGACCUGUGGCUGGGGGUGAAAGGCCAAUCAAACCGGGAGAUAGCUGGUUCUCCCCGAAAUCUAUUUAGGUAGAGCCUCGGACGAAUUCCAUUGGGGGUAGAGCACUGUUAAGGCUAGGGGGUCAUCCCGACUUACCAACCCUUUGCAAACUCCGAAUACCUGUGAGUACUAUCCGGGAGACACACGGCGGGUGCUAACGUCCGUCGUGAAGAGGGAAACAACCCAGACCGCCAGCUAAGGUCCCAAAAUAUUGCUAAGUGGGAAACGAUGUGGGAAGGCUAAGACAGCUAGGAGGUUGGCUUAGAAGCAGCCACCCUUUAAAGAAAGCGUAAUAGCUCACUAGUCGAGUCGGCCUGCGCGGAAGAUGUAACGGGGCUAAGCAAUAUACCGAAGCUGCGGCA